rnacentral:rRNA from 1 species
GGAUGAACGCUAGCUACAGGCUUAACACAUGCAAGUCGAGGGGAAACGACAUCGAAAGCUUGCUUUUGAUGGGCGUCGACCGGCGCACGGGUGAGUAACGCGUAUCCAACCUGCCCAUCACUUGGGGAUAACCUUGCGAAAGUAAGACUAAUACCCAAUGAUAUCUCUAGAAGACAUCUGAAAGAGAUUAAAGAUUUAUCGGUGAUGGAUGGGGAUGCGUCUGAUUAGCUUGUUGGCGGGGUAACGGCCCACCAAGGCAACGAUCAGUAGGGGUUCUGAGAGGAAGGUCCCCCACAUUGGAACUGAGACCCGGUCCAAACUCCUACGGGAGGCAGCAGUGAGGAAUAUUGAUCAAUGGGCGAGAGCCUGAACCAGCCAAGUAGCGUGCAGGAAGACGGCCCUAUGGGUUGUAAACUGCUUUUAUAAGGGAAUAAAGUGAGAGUCGUGACUCUUUUUGUAUGUACCUUAUGAAUAAGGACCGGCUAAUUCCGUG